rnacentral:rRNA from 1 species
AAUUUGAGAGGAGCUGUCCUUAGUACGAGAGGACCGGGAUGGACAUACCUCUGGUGUACCAGUUGUCGUGCCAACGGCAUAGCUGGGUAGCUAUGUAUGGACGGGAUAAGUGCUGAAAGCAUCUAAGCAUGAAGCCCCCCUCAAGAUGAGAUUUCCCAACUUCGGUUAUAAGAUCCCUCGAAGAUGACGAGGUUAAUAGGUUCGAGGUGGAAGCGUGGUGACACGUGGAGCUGACGAAUACUAAUCGAUCGAAGACUUAAUCAAUUUUUUAAA